GAGCGAACGGACGAGAAGCUUGCUUCUCUGAUGUUAGCGGCGGACGGGUGAGUAACACGUGGAUAACCUACCUAUAAGACUGGGAUAACUUCGGGAAACCGGAGCUAAUACCGGAUAAUAUUUUGAACCGCAUGGUUCAAAAGUGAAAGACGGUCUUGCUGUCACUUAUAGAUGGAUCCGCGCUGCAUUAGCUAGUUGGUAAGGUAACGGCUUACCAAGGCAACGAUGCAUAGCCGACCUGAGAGGGUGAUCGGCCACACUGGAACUGAGACACGGUCCAGACUCCUACGGGAGGCAGCAGUAGGGAAUCUUCCGCAAUGGGCGAAAGCCUGACGGAGCAACGCCGCGUGAGUGAUGAAGGUCUUCGGAUCGUAAAACUCUGUUAUUAGGGAAGAACAUAUGUGUAAGUAACUGUGCACAUCUUGACGGUACCUAAUCAGAAAGCCACGGCUAACUACGUGCCAGCAGCCGCGGUAAUACGUAGGUGGCAAGCGUUAUCCGGAAUUAUUGGGCGUAAAGCGCGCGUAGGCGGUUUUUUAAGUCUGAUGUGAAAGCCCACGGCUCAACCGUGGAGGGUCAUUGGAAACUGGAAAACUUGAGUGCAGAAGAGGAAAGUGGAAUUCCAUGUGUAGCGGUGAAAUGCGCAGAGAUAUGGAGGAACACCAGUGGCGAAGGCGACUUUCUGGUCUGUAACUGACGCUGAUGUGCGAAAGCGUGGGGAUCAAACAGGAUUAGAUACCCUGGUAGUCCACGCCGUAAACGAUGAGUGCUAAGUGUUAGGGGGUUUCCGCCCCUUAGUGCUGCAGCUAACGCAUUAAGCACUCCGCCUGGGGAGUACGACCGCAAGGUUGAAACUCAAAGGAAUUGACGGGGACCCGCACAAGCGGUGGAGCAUGUGGUUUAAUUCGAAGCAACGCGAAGAACCUUACCAAAUCUUGACAUCCUUUGACAACUCUAGAGAUAGAGCCUUCCCCUUCGGGGGACAAAGUGACAGGUGGUGCAUGGUUGUCGUCAGCUCGUGUCGUGAGAUGUUGGGUUAAGUCCCGCAACGAGCGCAACCCUUAAGCUUAGUUGCCAUCAUUAAGUUGGGCACUCUAAGUUGACUGCCGGUGACAAACCGGAGGAAGGUGGGGAUGACGUCAAAUCAUCAUGCCCCUUAUGAUUUGGGCUACACACGUGCUACAAUGGACAAUACAAAGGGCAGCGAAACCGCGAGGUCAAGCAAAUCCCAUAAAGUUGUUCUCAGUUCGGAUUGUAGUCUGCAACUCGACUACAUGAAGCUGGAAUCGCUAGUAAUCGUAGAUCAGCAUGCUACGGUGAAUACGUUCCCGGGUCUUGUACACACCGCCCGUCACACCACGAGAGUUUGUAACACCCGAAGCCGGUGGAGUAACCUUUUAGGAGCUAGCCGUCGAAGGUGGGACAAAUGAUUGGGGUGAAGUCGUAACAAGGUAGCCGUAUCGGAAGGUGCGGCUGGAUCACCUCCUUUCUA
rnacentral:rRNA from 1 species